GAGUUUGAUCGUGGCUCAGGACGAACGCUGGCGGCGCGCCUAACACAUGCAAGUCGAACGAGCAAGAGAGAGCUUGCUUUCUCGAGCGAGUGGCGAACGGGUGAGUAACGCGUGAGGAACCUGCCUCAAAGAGGGGGACAACAGUUGGAAACGACUGCUAAUACCGCAUAAGCCCACGACCCGGCAUCGGGUUGAGGGAAAAGGAGCAAUCCGCUUUGAGAUGGCCUCGCGUCCGAUUAGCUAGUUGGUGAGAUAACGGCCCACCAAGGCGACGAUCGGUAGCCGGACUGAGAGGUUGAACGGCCACAUUGGGACUGAAACACGGCCCAGACUCCUACGGGAGGCAGCAGUGGGGAAUAUUGCACAGUGGGGGAAACCCUGAUGCAGCGACGCCGCGUGGAGGAAGAAGGUCUUCGGAUUGUAAACUUCUUUCACCAGGGACGAAGGACGUGACGGUACCUGGAGAAAAAGCCACGGCUAAC
rnacentral:rRNA from 1 species